GCUUUAGCUUGCUGCCAUGGGCCCAGUUAGAGCUACUACUAUGGGAGAAGGGGAAUAUGGACACUGACAGAGUGAUGGGACAAAUGGCACUCUGUCACUGUCGACCUUUCUGGAUGCCUAAGUGUCAAUGCACUCCUGCCUUCCCACGCAGCAUACACACUCACACCUCUUCAGAUGAGACAUCGUAAAAGGCUCGCUCUGGUUAAUGGCUAGGAUCUCAAGCUGCUAUGCGUUCUCCUCCCUCAAGUCUGCAGGUGGCUUCUCAUGAUCUGAUGACCUUCUGUGGACCAGAGAACCACGUACCAGUGACAGAUCCCAGGGAAGGGCUCCAGCUCCAUGGAGGACAGCAAGGGUCAUCGCCAUGCCAACCACCGGGAAUAGAAGGAAAUGUCCCUCCUGGCACCGAGGGACAAAAAUCACCAACUGUGGAAAACCUGAUUCUUGAUCAGUGAAACUUUCAAGGACAGAUCUUGAUCAAAAGGGAGAAAUGUGAAAAUAGGUAAAGGAAACCUCAUUUAUCAUGAAGCUGGGGAGCCCUGAAGGGGCAAUUCUCACGCAUACACAUUUGUCGCAGUCUAAUAGCCAGCAGGAAGAAGGAAGAUCCCUCCCUGUCCCAGAAACACUGCACUAACCGCCACUUACAGCCGAUAAGAAAUCACCAGGACUCAUGUUCUUUUCGGUGAAUUUUUGUUCAAAACAACUCUUCUCAAUUUCCUCUUAAAACCUAAUAAAAGUUGACUUUCCCUUUGUCUCUUCAGACUCCUCUAUGUUUUCCCCAUAGUUUGAUUUUCUCAAAUUGCGCUUUCUCAGCUAUUCUCAAAUAAACUCAUUUUGCUAAUAAAAUAACUGGCUAA